rnacentral:rRNA from 1 species
UACGUAGGGUGCAAGCGUUGUCCGGAGUUAUUGGGCGUAAAGAGCUCGUAGGCGGUCUGUUGCGUCGGCUGUGAAAACCCGAGGCUCAACCUCGGGCCUGCAGCCGAUACGGGCAGACUAGAGUUCGGCAGGGGAGACUGGAAUUCCUGGUGUAGCGGUGAAAUGCGCAGAUAUCAGGAGGAACACCGGUGGCGAAGGCGGGUCUCUGGAACGGUACUGACGCUGAGACGCGAAAGCGUGGGGAGCGAACAGG